UCACAGGUGUCAAACAUGCAGCCUGGGGGCCAAAUCUGGCCCACCAAAGGGUCCAGUCUGGCCCAUGGGAUGAAUUUGUGAAAUGCAUAUGAAAUUACGCUGAAGAUAUUAACAAUCGAUGAUCUUAAAAUCAUUCUAGUUCAGUGGUCACAUACAGAUCAAUAUGAUCUAAAGUGGGUCAGAACAGUAAAAUACGUGUAUGAUAACCUUUCAAUAAUGACAACUACAAAUUUUUCUC